UUUUUUUUUUUUCAUUUUAAAUCAUUUAAGGACGCCUGGGCGGCUCAGCAGUUGAGCCUCUGCCUUUAGCUCAGGACAUGACACCAGGGUCCUGGGAUCGAGUCCCACGUCAGGCUCCCUGCAUGGGGCCUGCUUCUCCCUCUGCCUGUGUCUCUGCCUCUCUCUCUCUCUCUCUCUGUCAUGAAUAAAUAAAUACAAUAAAAAACAAACAAACAAACAAAAAAAAACAGUGUGGCACUCACACAAGGAUGGACAUACAGACCGGGGGAAAGAACUGCAAGUCCAGAAAUAAAUCCGGACUCUGUGGCCAGUUGAUUUUUGGCAGGUGUGCGAAGGCCAUUCAAGAGGGAAACGUUGGUGUCGGCGAACACGCUGGAUCGCUGGAUGUCCACACGCACACCGGAGCCACGCCCCUGCUCACCCCACACACACAGGUUGACUUCAUGGGGCACCUGCGCGCUCAGGUGGGGAGCGUCUGCCUCCGGCCCAGGCCGUGCCCCCAGGUCCUGGGAUCGAGUCCCUCUCGGGCUCCCCGCAGGGGGCCUGCCUCUCUCCGUGUCUCUGCCGCUCUGGGGGUCUCUCAAAUAAAUAAAAUCUUUAAAACAAAUUAACUUCAAAUGGAUCAACAACCUAAGUACAGGAGCUAAAACCAUAAACUCUUAGAAGAAAACAUACGGAUAAAUAUUCAUGAAGUUGGUUUUAACAGUGGGUUCUCUGGCCCGGCCGGCCCCAGCCCCGCAUCCCCGCAGCCGGGCGCCCGAUGACUGUGGGGGGCCUGUCACGAGUGCUCGGGCGCUGGAAGAACUUCAGGGUGGCCCCGCCGGGCGACCACCUCCCCGCCCAGUCGGAACCUGGUUCCCGCAGAAGAGGAGGAGCCAUGGCAGCGCCAUGGCCGGAAGGUAGCCAAGAACGGCUCCUAGGAGGGCACCCAGUGAGGCGGGUGGCCGCGGGCGCAGGGCCACCCCGGGCAGAGGACGCCAGGCCCACCCCGGGCAGCAUGGCCCAGAGCAAAGCCUCCCCACCGACGGCCAUCACGUGGUCCCACGACAAAGCCAGGGACAGUGCUGUGCGAAUCAUGAGUCACCGAGUCGGUUUCCGCUCGGGUCCUGAUCACAGGGUGGAGACGCCCUCAGCUCUGUGCUCCCCGGGGUGUCUGCUUCUCUCCCUGCCCCCCACCCCCACCCCCUAAAACAAAUACAUAAAUGUUAAAAAAAAAAAAAAAAAAGCAACUACAUUGCCGUGCUGUUCCGUAUUUACUGACAAAACUAGCACACAAGGGGAGCCGUGUUCACCCCCGCGGCAGGGAUCCGUGAGGGGACAGCCUCCCACCCAGCCCGCGGUCCCAGCACCCUCGGGGACAAAACCUAGCGCCACGUCUGCCAGCUCGGGGAGGCCCUGUGGGGGCCCCUCCAGGGUCAGGGGAGGGCCCAGCUACACACAGCCCGCGGCUUGGUCCACCAGCCAAGCAGCAGCGUAUGAUCGCCACGUGCCCCUCACCCCGUGGGUUCUGCAUGUCACCAAAGCAGGUGAGCUCUACAUCCAGCCACCCUGUGUCACUCCCUCCACCAUUGCUGUUCUGGUCCAGGGAACAGACCCAACCCCGACCUACAGAAAUAUAACCCGUUUCUAAACUGGAAACUCAAAACCCUAACCUAGCCUCUCCUCCCCACCGUAACCUACACGGUCGAUACAAUUCCGAUUUCAACGGAUUCUCAGAAAUUCACCUAGGGAAAAAAAAAGUGUAAAAUUAUCCAAGCAAUUUUGGAAAGGACGCCAAAAAAGAAGGGACUUGCCCUGUCAGGAAUCAGAAAGCACUAGAAAGCCACAAUAAAACAGGAGCAUGUAUAAAAAUGUCAUUCCUCUGUACAGCAAAAAUUACCAAUAAGAAAAUAGAAAGAAAAAUAACAAAUCAAAAACACAAGACCCCCAGACGAGUUACCAUGUGUAACAAAAACAUCCUGGACACCUGGCCGGCCCAGCAGUAGGACAUUUAAGUUUUGAUUCCAAGAUCAUGAGUUCAAGCCCCAUAUUCAGUGUAAAGAUUGGUUAAAGAUAAAAAGAAAAUAAUUUUUUUGAAGAUUUAUUUAUUUGGGGGAGGAAGGGGCAGGAGAGAGAAUCCCAAGCACAUUCACUUCUGAACAUAGCGCUGGAUUCCACGAUCCCGAGAUCAUGACCUGAGCCGAAAUCAAAAGUUGGACGCUUAACCGAGUCCCCCAGGAGGUCCCAAAAUAAAAUCUUUUUUUUUAAAUGUCCUUCUUGGGCAGCCCAGGUGGCUCAGCGGUUUAGCACCGCCUGUAGCCCAGGGCUUGAUCCUGGAGACCCGGGAUCGAGUCCUGC
rnacentral:lncRNA from 1 species